AGGUUGUCGUAAUGGUAAUUCAACUUAGUACGAGAGGAACCGUUGAUUCAGAUACUUGGUAUUUUCGCUUAGCUGAGAAGCUAGUGGCGAGAAGCUACCAUCUGCAGGAUUAUGACUGAACGCCUCUAAGUCAGAAUCCAUGCCAGAAACGAUGACGGCUGCCCGAUGACAUGAGUACCGAUAGCCUAGGCCUGUACCGUAAGAGUGGCGACGGGUCGCGCGGUGAGACCGCGCGCCCGGUCCACGGAGAUCAAUUUCGAGAGUUGGGCGCAGGAGAUCCUUUGCAGACGACUUAACAAGCAACGGGGUAUUGUAAGCAGUAGAGUAGCCUUGUUGCUACGAUCUGCUGAGAUUAAGCCUUGGUUGUAGGAUCU
rnacentral:ncRNA from 1 species